CAGAGCUCGAAGGAAGAUCUGGAGUAAAACUAGCAGGAGAAGGAGGAGUUGCAGGUGAGUAAUGGCCUCACAAACAUGGUGUAAGGAAGCACCUCCGCCUUCGUCCUACGGAAUGGGGCCCUGCUGAGGAUGCGGAGUCCACACAGGGGUCCCCCAGCCUCCCCUGGACCGACGUUCGCCUCCAGGUCAAUUCUUUGUAUGCUGAAAGGGCAACCAAAACAGUGGCAAUGCCGGAAGACGGUUGACUUCUGGCUCAGGACUGACAUCUUCCUGCUUCCUUCUACCCGCCAAAGCCAAAGAGGGGGAAACGUGCUCAUGGCAGGGGGGCUGCGCAGCCACCAGGGAGGAGGCACAGACCGGGGAGUAGGGGAGACAGCCCCGGGACACCCGGCCGCAAUCCCAGACCCAAACACAGCCACCUCCGAAGACGGAUUGGGUCUCGGCUGCGGAAGAAAAGCAACCCUCAUAUAUCAGGGAACAAAUUACGGAUCCUACACGGGAGAGCGUGGCUGAUGUGGGGCCCGCGGGGAGAUCGCUGGUCCUUCCCUUCCUCCCUUGCCGAUGGAGGGGGCACUGCCAAACAACCCAGCAGAGGCCAGGCCAGGUCCACAGAGCCUGGCAGAGGUCUCAUGGCCCGUGACCUGGGAAUGAAGCAACAGGAGGAGUAUUUAGAGAAUUCGAAUACAAGCAUUGUCG
rnacentral:lncRNA from 1 species